UUUACAUCGAAUCUAUCAUUGAAACUGAUUCACACAAUGAAAUUGAGAAUGAUAUUACUGCUUUUGUUUGGGUUUCAAUGGACUGUAGAAUCAUCCUGUUCACAUUGGAAGAAACGAAUGCGAAGAUAUGGUGCACUGGCCAAUUGUCAAUAUUAUGCGACAUCCGAGAAUAAUUAUACUGAUUACUUUCCAAUUGACGAAGUUGCUUAUGACAAUAAUGGCACUCUGCAAAUCCGAUUUUUCACAUUAUUAUCGAAAGAUGGGAUUCGGUUUAAAUUGAGCAACAACGAAAGCUGUAUUUGGCCUUCGAAUGUUAAAAACAUACCAACUUAUUUACCUGAUACUUUUAAUGAUUCACAUGAAGUAAAUUACAAGGGUCAUUAUUGUGAUUGCAUCCCAGUCGCACUAUAUUAGAGAAAAUAAUGGGAUUUUGAAGACAUUGAACGCACCAGACAUUUUACGAACAGAUGAACCAAAUGAAAUUUUUAUUGAAGUCAAUGCAGUUCCAGUUAGACGAAUUCACACAACCAUCAACGAAGUAGCUACGCUUACUACAAGAGCGUAUGACGUAGAUAUCCUUAAAUAUAUCAGUUUUAUGUCAUCCAGAAAUGGCGUUUUGCAAGAGUUCUUCUAUUAUUGCAAUUCGAAUUAAAAAUUAUUCUUUUGUCACAAUUUUAUCCUUUCCAUCUAACCAAUUAUAUUAUAUACAAUUUGAAUUUGGUUAUUGGCUACCCGUGUGUGAAAAAGAAAUGACUGACUGACUAUAACUUCAGUUGACUUUAGUUGAUUGAAUUUAUAUUUUUGUUCUAAGAAAAUCACUUGGUCCCAAAUGAAGCAACUUAGAUUGACUUGUAACUUCAAAUGAUUUCAGUUAACUAUGAUAGACUUACACUACACUUUGUACUGAAAUGUCAAUCGAAGUAAGUCAUUUUUGUCCCAAAUUAGUUAACUGACUGCUCAGUUACUAUUUUUUCACACGGGUAAUGAAUGUGCUAAUUAUUCUU